CCUACGGGAGGCAGCAGUGAGGAAUAUUGGUCAAUGGACGAGAGUCUGAACCAGCCAAGUAGCGUGAAGGAUGACUGCCCUAUGGGUUGUAAACUUCUUUUAUAUGGGAAUAAAACGUUCCACGUGUGGGAUUUUGUAUGUACCAUAUGAAUAAGGAUCGGCUAACUCCGUGCCAGCAGCCGCGGUAAUACGGAGGAUCCGAGCGUUGUCCGGAUUUAUUGGGUUUAAAGGGAGCGUAGGUGGAUUGUUAAGUCAGUUGUGAAAGUUUGCGGCUCAACCGUAAAAUUGCAGUUGAAACUGGCAGUCUUGAGUACAGUAGAGGUGGGCGGAAUUCGUGGUGUAGCGGUGAAAUGCUUAGAUAUCACGAAGAACUCCGAUUGCGAAGGCAGUUCACUGGACUGCAACUGACACUGAGGCUCGAAAGUGUGGGUAUCAAACAGGAUUAGAUACCCGAGUAGUC
rnacentral:rRNA from 1 species